rnacentral:rRNA from 1 species
UGGAGGAGAAAGCUGUGGGCUCAACUCACAAUCUGCCUUCAAAACUUCCGUUCUUGAGUGGUGUAGAGGUAGGCGGAAUUCCCGGUGUAGCGGUGGAAUGCGUAUAUAUUGGGAGGAACACCAGUGGCGAAGGCGGCUUACUGGGCAUUAACUGACGUUGAGGCUCGAAAGCAUGGGUAGCAACCAGGAUUAGAUACCCUGGUAGUCCAUGCCGUAACAGAUGAUUUACUAGGUGUGGGAGGGAUUGACCCCUUCCGUGCCGCAGUUAACACAAUAAGUAAAUCCACCUGGGGAGUACGACCGCAAGGUUGAAACUCAAAGGAAUUGACGGGGGCCCGCACAAGCAGUGGAGUAUGUGGUUUAAUUCGAAGCAACGCGAAAAACCUUACCAGGUCUUGACAUCCGACGCAUAGCUCAGAGAUGAGUGAAGUCCUUCGGGACGUCGAGACAGGUGGUGCAUGGUUGUCGUCAGCUCGUGUCGUGAGAUGUUGGGUUAAGUCCCGCAACGAGCGCAACCCUUAUCGUCAGUUACUACGCAAGAGGACUCUGGCGAGACUGCCGUUGACAAAACGGAGGAAGGUGGGGAUGACGUCAAAUCAUCAUGCCCUUUAUGACCUGGGCUACACACGUACUACAAUGGCGCUCAACAAAGAGAAGCGAAACCGCGAGGUGGAGCAAACCUCAUAAACAGCGUCUCAGUUCAGAUUGCAGGCUGCAACUCGCCUGCAUGAAGUCGGAAUUGCUAGUAAUCGCGGAUCAGCAUGCCGCGGUGAAUACGUUCCCGGGCCUUGCACACACCGCCCGUCA